CCCAACCGCCGGCGCCCGCUGCUGUGCGGCGGCGGGGAUGGCGAGCCCCGGAGCCCGGGCGGUGCCGAUCGCAGCGGGGCCGCCAUUGGAUGGGGAGGCCUGAGGGACGGGCCAGCGUGGUGAGCCAGGAGAGGCCGAGGCUGUGGCCCCGGGAGAGCGGAGGCCAUGGACGCCAACCUGCCGAGGCGGCGGGAGCCCGGCAAGUCCCUGCGCAUCAAAGUCAUCUCCAUGGGCAACGCCGAGGUGGGGAAAAGCUGUAUCAUAAAGAGAUACUGUGAGAAAAGAUUUGUGUCGAAAUACCUUGCAACAAUUGGAAUUGACUAUGGAGUCACAAAGGUACAAGUGAGAGACAGAGAGGUCAAAGUGAACAUCUUUGACAUGGCUGGCCACCCCUUCUUCUAUGAGGUGCGGAACGAGUUUUACAAGGACACCCAGGGCGUGCUGCUGGUCUACGACGUUGGGCAGAAAGACUCCUUUGACGCCCUGGACACGUGGCUGGCAGAAAUGAAGCAAGACCUUGGGCCUCACGGGAACAUGGACAACGUUGUCUUCGUCGUGUGUGCCAACAAGAUUGACUGCCCCAAGCACCGCUGUGUGGAUGAAAGUGAAGGGCGUCUUUGGGCCGAAAGCAAAGGGUUCCUGUACUUUGAAACUUCAGCACAAACCGGAGAAGGAAUUAAUGAGAUGUUCCAGACCUUUUAUACAUCCAUAGUUGACUUAUGUGAAAAUGGCGGGAAGCGUCCUAUCCCAAAUAGCAGUGCUAGUUUCACCAAAGAACAAGCAGACACCAUUCGCAGAAUUCGGAAUAGUAAAGACAGUUGGGACAUGUUGGGCGUCAAACCUGGAGCCUCAAGGGACGAAGUGAACAAAGCGUACCGGAGGCUCGCUGUGCUGCUCCACCCUGACAAGUGUGUGGCGCCGGGGAGUGAAGAUGCCUUCAAGGCAGUGGUGAAUGCCCGGACAGCCGUCCUGAAAAACAUCAAACUCUCCCUGCUCCUUUCCGUGUGUUGUCAGCCCUAAAUCAGUCACCCAGGCGCCUGCUACCAUCUCACAGAGGGAGCGAAGGAACCACACGCCUGCGUGUCGCUCAUCGCAUACUUCCAUGUUGAAAGCAGGUCCUCCCUCAGGCCUCUUGCUCAGGAAGGUCCAAAGGUUUCUGGAGGGAGGACAGGAAGACCCUUUCCCCUGGUCUUUCUUUUUUAUUAAUUCACCAUGAGAAGAAGAAAAACAAGCAGACAGUAUCGAAACCCCUGGAAGUUGGUGUGACCUCACAAGCAAGUUGGUCCUUUUAGGAUGAGUCCUUAGGUGGCCUCGUGACCCUCAGUCCAAAAUUAACGAACUCUAGAGCCCUUUGGAAGUUGGUGGAACAGAGCCAUGCGAUCCUGAAAUAAAACUGUUAUCUCAUUUUAAUCAUGAAGAUCUUAAUAAUUCAGUUAACUGCUCUCUGGACAAGAGCCCUGAAGGAACAGCCUGAUGCAAACCCAGACUCUGACGGUGGGAAGCCGCUCAGGCCGGCCCGCAGGAGGCCGUCUAUCCGGGAGGCUCCCAGCAGGGGCUUUCGUUGUCGUUAGGAAGGGCAUUUGCUCUCCUCUGGACGGUCCGUCGCUCCUUAGGGAACUCUCCACCUUCAUAGCUAGCACGUCCUAAAGGGCGGCUGCCAGGUCCUCUAUGCCCCACCCUCCCCCUGCCCACAGAGAUUGGUCCCUGAGACGGGAAAUGUCACCCAAGCUCAACCAAUUGGCAUCCCUCCCUGGGUCCUUCUAAUUGGAUCUAUGAAAACACACUUCCUCUCAGGAGAGGAGGACAGAAAGAGUCUGCUGAUGUUGGCACCUUGAUUAUAAGCUCAUGGAAAAAACUUGAGAGGAGGAGGCAGACAUUCAGGAAGAGACAGUCCUGAUGGCUAAGACUUUCCUUCCAGCCCACGAGGCCUUCUGAACUGGUGGUUCUUCCAGCCCAUCAGCCACCCCAGAGUCCUUCCAAUAAAGUCCACCCUCC